UUGAGAGGGACGCAAAUGCCCCCUGUAGUUUAUCAGUAACCCAGAGGAAUGUCAGAAGAGCUUCCCUGCAGAGCCAGUGAGCCCUAGAUACCAGGCCCACAAACAGCAACACAGCCAUGCCUUCUGCCUGCCAGCCGGAAGAGACAGUUCCUUCCAUCACUUAAAGGGAGCACCAAGGUAGACUAAAGAGGAAGAGAGAAGCAAACAUCGCCUUCGGGAGGUGCCUAAAGCCCUAUAUCUGGGUCCUCUCUUACCCUUCCAGGCUGGCCCCAGGAAGAUUCCAGCUGCCUGCCUCUGAGUCCAGCACCCCUCCACCCCCGCCCCCGGGAUCCACCUGUCAGCCUUCCCAUAGAGCCUCUGCAGGGGAUCAAAAAGCUCAGGCUGGCCUCGAACUUACCAUGAAGGCAAGGAUGACCCUGAACUUCGCUGACCUUUCUGCUUCUACCUCUGAUUGCUUGAACCAUGUGUGAGCAUCACCAGGUCUGUUUUAUGUCACACUGGCGACUGAACGCAGGACUCUGUGCACACUGGGCAAGCACGCAACCAACCGAGGUACAGCAUAACUUUCUGUACAGCUCCACAACUCACUACACAGAUGGAUGUGAAGACAAAAAUAUCGUGGGGGGCUAGGAAGACAGCAAAGGAGGUCAGUGUUACAGCGCAGACCUCCUCCUGGCAAGCUCUGAAUUCAUCCAGGGACAGAGAUGCCCCAGAAGCUGCCCUCAGCACAUAAGCACUGUUAUCCCAGGCUGAGCAGGUCAUCCAGCCAAGGACCAAUGUGCUCUCUUUGUGCUGGAGGAGGGAGUUUCCAAGGCACCUACCGAGGUUGGCAGAACUGUGUGGUUCUGGCUGCAACAAACGUGGGACCUGCCCCAGAGAGGCACGAGCCCUGCCCCGCAGUACCAUCCUUUUCCAUGGCCACAUGUAGGACCAUUCUGGGAAGAUGGCACUUCUGGGAGAAGCCAAGGAGCAUGGGAUUCCUGCCUCCUGGCCACACACAUGGCCUGCCGAUAUCCCUCAGACUAACCCCUAAGUCCCAUAGGAGUUUGUGCCAUAGGAUUUCGGAGCUGCUUUGAUUCCUCCACUACUGCACGGUGUAAAGUGCUGGCUUGCCUUUGUGUCCAUUGAGGGGCUGUGGAAUGUGCUAAGUUGGGUAGCAUUGUAGGUGGAGGUCAUGAGGACCCCAUCUUCCCCCACAAGUAAAUAAAGAGAUGUUCAGUAUAAACAAA